AUUGAACGCUGGCGGCAGGCCUAACACAUGCAAGUCGAACGAGUGGCGGACGGGUGAGUAAUGUCUGGGAAACUGCCUGAUGGAGGGGGAUAACUACUGGAAACGGUAGCUAAUCCCGCAUACCAUCAGAUGUGCCCAGAUGGGAUUAGCUAGUUGGUGGGGUAACGGCUCACCAAGGCGACGAUCCCUAGCUGGUCGGAGAGGAUGACCAGCCACACUGGAACUGAGACACGGGCCAGACUCCUACGGGAGGCAGCAGUGGGGAAUAUUGCACAAUGGGCGAAAGCCUGAUGCAGCAAUGCCGCGUGAGUGAAGAAGGCCUUCGGGUUGUAAAGCACUGUCAGCGAGGAGGCGUUACUCGAAGAAGAAGCACCGGCUAACUCCGUGCCAGCAGCCGCGGUAAUAC
rnacentral:rRNA from 1 species